GAUGAACGCUAGCGGCAGGCCUAACACAUGCAAGUCGAGGGGUAGAUAUCUUCGGAUAUUGAGACCGGCGCACGGGUGCGUAACGCGUAUGCAGUCUACCUUGUACAGAGGGAUAGCCCAGAGAAAUUUGGAUUAAUACCUCAUAGUAUUAUUGAAUGGCAUCAUUUACUAAUUAAAGUUCCAACGGUACAAGAUGAGCAUGCGUCCUAUUAGCUAGUUGGUGUGGUAACGGCAUACCAAGGCUACGAUAGGUAGGGGUCCUGAGAGGGAGAUCCCCCACACUGGUACUGAGACACGGACCAGACUCCUACGGGAGGCAGCAGUGAGGAAUAUUGGACAAUGGGCGCAAGCCUGAUCCAGCCAUGCCGCGUGCAGGAAGACGCAUCUAUGGUGUGUAAACUGCUUUUGUACGGGAAGAAACACUCCCUCGUGAGGGAGCUUGACGGUACCGUAAGAAUAAGGAUCGGCUAACUCCGUGCCAGCCGCCGCAGUAAAAC
rnacentral:rRNA from 1 species